rnacentral:rRNA from 1 species
UAAUACGUAGGUGGCAAGCGUUGUCCGGAUUUACUGGGCGUAAAGCGAACGCAGGCGGAGUGUUAAGUAAGAAGUGAAAGGUUGGAGCUCAACUCUGACACGGCUUCUUAUACUGGCAUUCUUGAGUCUUGGAGAGGAAAGCGGAACGACACGUGUAGCGGUGAAAUGCGUUGAUAUGUGUCGGAACACCGAUGGCGAAAGCAGCUUUCUGGACAAGUACUGACGCUGAGGUUCGAAAGCCAAGGGAGCGAACAGGAUUAGAUACCCUGGUAGUCUUGGCCAUAAACGAUGUUCACUAGGUGUCGGGGCUUUGCUUCGGUGCCGCAGCUAACGCAUUAAGUGAACCGCCUGGGAACUACGAUCGCAAGAUUA